UAGUCAUAUGCUUGCCUCAAAGAUUAAGCCAUGCAUGUCUAAGUAUAAACUUUUAUACGGUGAAACUGCGAACGGCUCAUUAAAUCAGUUGCAAUCGAAGUGGUUAUAAGAGAAUGAUCGGAUAACACUGGCAAAACUAGUGCUAAUACGUCUGGGCCCGCGCUCGCGAGAGAGCGUGUCCGCACAUACUAGCCGCAGUGCCAAUUUUAAGGACGAAUCAUAGUAUGCAGUUGAUCGGCUCCCGCGAGCCGACGUACCAUUCGAGCUUCUGCACUAUCAUCUCAGGUUGGUAGAGUAGUGGUCUACCAAGGAGUUUACGGUUAACGGAGGAUUAGGGUUCGACUCCGGAGAAUGAGCCUGAGAGACGGCUCAUACAUCCAAGGAUGGCAGCAGGCGCGAAAAUUACCCAAUGUACUAAGUACGAGGUAGUGACAAGGAAUAUCGAGGCUGGUGGGCUUAUGCCCGUUCAGCCGUUGAAAUGGGUGGGUUUCAAAGGGACCCGCGAACACGAGUCGAGGGAAAGGUCUGGUGCCAGCAGCCGCGGUAAUUCCAGCUCGACUAGCGUAUAUUAAAGUUGUUGCAGUUAAAACGUUCGUAGUUUGACUUGCGGUUCUGUGUGGGUUUGGGGGCUUUCGGGCUCUUGGGACAGUGUGGGGUGAUUAGCUACUUCGGUACUUAUCACACUAUGCUACUUCCCGCUAUAUGUAUAGUUAUCGCACAACGGGACUGUAUUUUCUACCCUUCCAGGUAGAAUAAUUACCAUGAGGAAAUAGGUACGUUCAUAGUAGGGUUCUCUACUGGCUCAGCCAGUAGCGUGGUGCAGCCUCACCGCUGCCCCAUGGUCCGUUGAACAGGCCAGCAUGGGAUAAUGUAUUAUGACUCGGCGUCGUUCUACAUUGGCUGCUUGCAGACGCAAAGUAAUGGUUAAUAGGAGUGAUCGCGUGGGCAUCAGGACCAGACGGGGACAGGUGAAAUAGGAUGAUCCGUCUGAGACUAUCUAAAGCGAAAGCAUUUGCCAAGUACACUUUCAUUAAUCAAGAUCGAAAGCCAGGGGAUAGAAGGCGAUUAGACACCACCGUAUUCCUGGCCAUAAACUAUACCAACUAAGAAUUGGAAGCGUAUUCCAUUUUUUUAAAUAUUGGUUCCUUUCAGCGCUCAUAGAGAAAUCGUUAAGUUUUCGGGUUCUGGGGGGAGUAUGGUCGCAAGGCUGAAACUUGAAGGCAUUGACGGAGAGAUACCACAAGACGUGGAGUCUGCGGCUCAAUUUGACUCAACACGUAAACCUUACCAGGCCCAGACGUGCGUGGGAUUGACAGAUUGAUAGUUCUUUCAUGAUUGCAUGGUUGGUGGUGCAUGGCCGUUCUUAGCCCGUAACGUAAGUCGUCUGCUUUAUUGCGAUAACGAGCGAGACCUCUGUGGUUAAAUGCCGUGGUCGGGUUUUUCUGGCAGUCGAGGGGCUUGCGCAUUCUUUGCGCGAGCGUAUUCCUCUGUGCCGACGCCCAAGACUUGUUCGGACCUAAAAACCGAACUAAACGGCUCUUAGCCAGACUGUUGACGAUUCCAAAGUCAAAGGAAGGUAGAGGCAAUAACAGGUCUGUGAUGCCCUUAGAUGCCCUGGGCCGCACGCGUACUACACUGGUGGAUUCAGAGGGUCCUGCGGGUUGCUUUUUUAAUUGGUGAGGAGGCCGGUGAUGAGCCGUGUUUUUUCUUACCAGAAGCAGCCCUGUGGCGUUUAACGACGCUACUACUCGCGAAUAUCCAUCGUGGCUGGGAUUGGGGCUUGGAACUAUGCCCCAUAAACAAGGAAUGUCUAGUAAGUGCACUUCACAAAGAUGCGCUGAUUCUGUCCCUGUCCCUUGUACACACCGCCCGUCGCUUGAUCCGAUUGGUUGCUUUGGCGAGUUCUUCGGACUACUUGGAAUAAGAGGAGACUUCGGUUUUUUUUUAUUUUGGGAAGGAAGUUGUGCGAGCCUAAGGAAUUAGAGGAACAAGAAGUCGUAACAAGGUAUCC
rnacentral:rRNA from 1 species